CACACCAUGGGAGUUGGUUCUACCCGAAGGCGCUGCGCCAACCCUGAUUCGCAAGGAUCGGGGGGGCAGGCGACCACGGUAGGAUCAGUGACUGGGGUG
rnacentral:rRNA from 1 species